rnacentral:rRNA from 1 species
CGCCAGACUCCUACGGGAGGCAGCAGUGGGGAAUAUUGCACAAUGGGGGAAACCCUGAUGCAGCGACGCCGCGUGAGUGAAGAAGUAUUUCGGUAUGUAAAGCUCUAUCAGCAGGGAAGAAAGUGACGGUACCUGAUUAAGAAGCCCCGGCUAACUACGUGCCAGCAGCCGCGGUAAUACGUAGGGGGCAAGCGUUAUCCGGAUUUACUGGGUGUAAAGGGAGCGUAGACGGCAGCGCAAGUCUGGAGUGAAAUGCCGGGGCCCAACCCCGGAACUGCUCUGGAAACUGUGAAGCUGGAGUGCAGGAGAGGUAAGCGGAAUUCCUGGUGUAGCGGUGAAAUGCGUAGAUAUCAGGAGGAACACCGGCGGCGAAGGCGGCUUACUGGACUGUAACUGACGUUGAGGCUCGAAGGCGUGGGGAGCAAACAGGAUUAGAUACCCGUGUAGA